GAUGAACGCUGGCGGAGUGCCUAAUACAUGCAAGUCGAGCGAACGGACGAGAAGCUUGCUUCUCUGAUGUUAGCGGCGGACGGGUGAGUAACACGUGGAUAACCUACCUAUAAGACUGGGAUAACUUCGGGAAACCGUAGCUAAUACCGGAUAAUAUUUUGAACCGCAUGGUUCAAAAGUGAAAGACGGUCUUGCUGUCACUUAUAGAUGGAUCCGCGCUGCAUUAGCUAGUUGGUAAGGUAACGGCUUACCAAGGCAACGAUGCAUAGCCGACCUGAGAGGGUGAUCGGCCACCCUGGAACUGAGACACGGUCCAGACUCCUACGGGAGGCAGCAGUAGGGAAUCUUCCGCAAUGGGCGAAAGCCUGACGGAGCAACGCCGCGUGAGUGAUGAAGGUCUUCGGAUCGUAAAACUCUGUUAUUAGGGAAGAACAUAUGUGUAAGUAACUGUGCACAUCUUGACGGUACCUAAUCAGAAAGCCACGGCUAACUACGUG
rnacentral:rRNA from 1 species